rnacentral:snRNA from 1 species
AUACCUUUCUCGGCCUUUUGGCUAAGAUCAAGUGUAGUAUCUGUUCUUAUCAGUUUAAUAUCUGAUAUGUGGACUACAUGUCCACAACGAUAGGUAGCUUGCUGCUGGGGUCCUCGGGUGUCACUCAGGCGUUGCACUGCUGCCUGGGCUGGCGCACCCCAA